rnacentral:rRNA from 1 species
UACAGAGGGUGCAAGCGUUGUUCGGAAUUAUUGGGCGUAAAGAGCUCGUAGGCGGCUUGUUGCGUCAGCUGUGAAAACCCGCAGCUCAACUGUGGGCUUGCAGCUGAUACGGGCAGGCUUGAGUUCGGUAGGGGAGAACGUAGUACUUCGGUGUAGCGGUGAAAUGCGCAGAUAUCAGGAGGAACACCGGUGGCGAAGGCGGUUCUCUGGGCCUUACCUGACGCUGAGGAGCGAAAGCGUGGGGAGCAAACAGG